GGGAUAACUUCAGGAAACUGGGGCUAAUACCGGAUAGGAGCUCCUGCUGCAUGGUGGGGGUUGGAGAGUUUCGGCGGUUGGGGAUGGACUCGCGGCUUAUCAGCUUGUUGGUGGGGUAGUGGCUUACCAAGGCUUUGACGGGUAGCCGGCCUGAGAGGGUGACCGGCCACAUUGGGACUGAGAUACGGCCCAGACUCCUACGGGAGGCAGCAGUGGGGAAUAUUGCACAAUGGGUGGAAGCCUGAUGCAGCAACGCCGUGUGCGGGAUGACGGCCUUCGGGUUGUAAACCGCUUUCGCUCAUGACGAAGCUUUGUGUGACGGUAGUGGGUAAAGAAGCACCGGCUAACUACGUGCCAGCAGCCGCGGUGAUACGUAGGGUGCGAGCGUUGUCCGGAUUUAUUGGGCGUAAAGGGCUCGUAGGUGGUUGAUCGCGUCGGAAGUGUAAUCUUGGGGCUUAACCCUGAGCGUGCUUUUGAUACGGGUUGACUUGAGGAAGGUAGGGGAGAAUGGAAUUCCUGGUGGAGCGGUGGAAUGCGCAGAUAUCAGGAGGAACACCGGUGGCGAAGGCGGUUCUCUGGGCCUUUCCUGGCGCCGAGGAGCGAAAGCGUGGGGAGCGAACAGGCUUAGAUACCCUGGUAGUCCACGCUGUAAACGGUGGGUACUAGGUGUGGGGUCCAUUCCACGGGUUCCGUGCCGUAGCUAACGCUUUAAGUACCCCGCC
rnacentral:rRNA from 1 species